GACGAACGCUGGCGGCGUGCUUAACACAUGCAAGUCGAACGGAAAGGCCCUGCUUUUGUGGGGUGCUCGAGUGGCGAACGGGUGAGUAACACGUGAGUAACCUGCCCUUGACUUUGGGAUAACUUCAGGAAACUGGGGCUAAUACCGGAUAGGAGCUCCUGCUGCAUGGUGGGGGUUGGAAAGUUUCGGCGGUUGGGGAUGGACUCGCGGCUUAUCAGCUUGUUGGUGGGGUAGUGGCUUACCAAGGCUUUGACGGGUAGCCGGCCUGAGAGGGUGACCGGCCACAUUGGGGCUGAGAUACGGCCCAGACUCCUACGGGAGGCAGCAGUGGGGAAUAUUGCACAAUGGGCGGAAGCCUGAUGCAGCAACGCCGCGUGCGGGAUGACGGCUUUCGGGUUGUAAACCGCUUUCGCCUGUGACGAAGCGUGAGUGACGGUAAUGGGUAAAGAAGCACCGGCUAACUACGUG
rnacentral:rRNA from 1 species